GGGGAUAUGGCUCAGUGAUAGAGCAUUUGACUAGCAUGCACAAGGCCCUGUGUUCAAUCCCCAGUACCACCC
rnacentral:tRNA from 1 species